GUUAUAAAAGUGAUUUUACUCAGACAAUUUAUUUGAGCAGCAGUCGAUGUGGCAGCUGCUUUCAUCAAACACAAUUAUUUAGCAUUUUGUAUAAGUUGCUGGCAUCCCUUUUCAUUGGCUCGGACUUUCACGGGCAGAUGCAGUAUCUUCCUCGACCUCGAUCGGCUCUUCAACAGUUUGUUCGCGGCAGCAGAUCUGAACUUGACUGUUUAACACGAUACCCAAGAGCUACCUGGGGUCUACAAACUUCACAUCCAGGAUCCAUCUGCCUCUGUGGAGAAAAGGAGAGAAGUGGUCCUGAGAUGCCUGAUUGAGUACAUGGGGGAGAGACAGGAAGACCUCAUCAGUGUCUACCAUAAUCGUGCUGAAACAGAGGUGCAUGCUGAGCUUUGCAGUUGCCCACUGAACAUUUACAUGUGCCAUCAUCCCGACACAACUGGUAUUAUCAUCGAAGGACAGCCCGUGGUCAGAGGUUUGCCAAACCUGUCAAAAGCAUGCUGCCUCCUGUUUGGACUUGCCUAUGCUCUCGACCUCAAGUAUCCAUCAAAACUGGUGUAUGGUUUUGAGAUAUAUCAGAGGCUUUUUGUUGGAUUGGACCCCAUGCGUCCUAAGCCAUCAUCCAAGUACGCAAAUCUCCUCAACAAGUUGUCUUAGAUGAUUUCUCAAUGGAAUCUGGCUGACUUUUUUUUCGCUGACUUUUUGGGACUUUGGCUUAUUCACCGUAUCCCCCAGAGUUAGAUAAGUCCAUUCAUACCCUUCUCAUCUCCAUGCGUGCCGUAACU